GUUUAAGCGUGUAGGCUGGUUUUCCAGGCAAAUCCGGAAAAUCAAGGCUGAGGCGUGAUGACGAGGCACUACGGUGCUGAAGCAACAAAUGCCCUGCUUCCAGGAAAAGCCUCUAAGCAUCAGGUAACAUCAAAUCGUACCCCAAACCGACACAGGUGGUCAGGUAGAGAAUACCAAGGCGCUUGAGAGAACUCGGGUGAAGGAACUAGGCAAAAUGGUGCCGUAACUUCGGGAGAAGGCACGCUGAUAUGUAGGUGAAGUCCCUCGCGGAUGGAGCUGAAAUCAGUCGAAGAUACCAGCUGGCUGCAACUGUUUAUUAAAAACACAGCACUGUGCAAACACGAAAGUGGACGUAUACGGUGUGACGCCUGCCCGGUGCCGGAAGGUUAAUUGAUGGGGUCAGCGCAAGCGAAGCUCUUGAUCGAAGCCCCGGUAAACGGCGGCCGUAACUAUAACGGUCCUAAGGUAGCGAAAUUCCUUGUCGGGUAAGUUCCGACCUGCACGAAUGGCGUAAUGAUGGCCAGGCUGUCUCCACCCGAGACUCAGUGAAAUUGAACUCGCUGUGAAGAUGCAGUGUACCCGCGGCAAGACGGAAAGACCCCGUGAACCUUUACUAUAGCUUGACACUGAACAUUGAGCCUUGAUGUGUAGGAUAGGUGGGAGGCUUUGAAGUGUGGACGCCAGUCUGCAUGGAGCCGGCCUUGAAAUACCACCCUUUAAUGUUUGAUGUUCUAACGUUGGCCCCUGAUCGGGGUUGCGGACAGUGUCUGGUGGGUAGUUUGACUGGGGCGGUCUCCUCCUAAAGAGUAACGGAGGAGCACGAAGGUUGGCUAAUCCUGGUCGGACAUCAGGAGGUUAGUGCAAUGGCAUAAGCCAGCUUGACUGCGAGCGUGACGGCGCGAGCAGGUGCGAAAGCAGGUCAUAGUGAUCCGGUGGUUCUGAAUGGAAGGGCCAUCGCUCAACGGAUAAAAGGUACUCCGGGGAUAACAGGCUGAUACCGCCCAAGAGUUCAUAUCGACGGCGGUGUUUGGCACCUCGAUGUCGGCUCAUCACAUCCUGGGGCUGAAGUAGGUCCCAAGGGUAUGGCUGUUCGCCAUUUAAAGUGGUACGCGAGCUGGGUUUAGAACGUCGUGAGACAGUUCGGUCCCUAUCUGCCGUGGGCGCUGGAGAACUGAGGGGGGCUGCUCCUAGUACGAGAGGACCGGAGUGGACGCAUCACUGGUGUUCGGGUUGUCAUGCCAAUGGCACUGCCCGGUAGCUAAAUGCGGAAGAGAUAAGUGCUGAAAGCAUCUAAGCACGAAACUUGCCCCGAGAUGAGUUCUCCCUGACUCCUUGAGAGUCCUGAAGGAACGUUGAAGACGACGACGUUGAUAGGCCGGGUGUGUAAGCGCAGCGAUGCGUUGAGCUAACCGGUACUAAUGAACCGUGAGG
rnacentral:rRNA from 1 species